GCAAGAAGCAAAGGCAACCAUGAGAUUUCAAAGGGGAGGAGUACAUAAAUUUGAUUUUGGAAGAUGUUGGAAAAGUCAAUAUCGA